AGGGACAGUAAUGUGUAGGUACCUACCCCCCGAUCUGGGAUAGCUGCGGGAAACUGCAGGUAAUACCGGAUAAUGUCUUCGGACCAAAGGUGUGAUUCCGUCAGGGGAGGGGCCUGCAUCCUAUUAGCUUGUUGGUGAGGUAAUGGCUCACCAAGGCAACGAUGGGUAGCGGGUGUGAGAGCAUGACCCGCGUCAUUGGGACUGAGACACUGCCCAGACAUCUACGGAUGGCUGCAGUCGAGAAUCUUCGGCAAUGGGCGAAAGCCUGACCGAGCGACGCCGCGUGCGGGAUGAAGGCCCUCGGGUUGUAAACCGCUGUCGUUGGGGAGGAAAUGCAAAAGGGUUAUCCCUUCUGUUUGACCGAUCCAAGGAGGAAGUACGGGCUAAGU
rnacentral:rRNA from 1 species